rnacentral:rRNA from 1 species
AUUGAACGCUGGCGGCAGGCCUAACACAUGCAAGUCGAGCGGAGCGGCGGACGGGUGAGUAAUGCCUAGGAAUCUGCCUGGUGGGGGGGGUUAACGUCGGGAAAGGGGCGCUAAUACGCCAUAUUACCAAAUAAGCUUAGGUCGGAUUGGCUAGUUGGUGGGGUAAAGGCCUACCAAGGCGACGAUCCGUAACUGGUCUGAGAGGAUGAUCAGUCACACUGGAACUGAGACACGGUCCAGACUCCUACGGGAGGCAGCAGUGGGGAAUAUUGGACAAUGGGCGAAAGCCUGAUCCAGCCAUGCCGCGUGUGUGAAGAAGGUCUUCGGAUUGUAAAGCACUUUAAGUUGGGAGGCGUUACCAACAGAAUAAGCACCGGCUAACUUCGUGCCAGCAGCCGCGGUAAUUC